UACGUAGGGUCCGAGCGUUGUCCGGAAUUACUGGGCGUAAAGAGCUCGUAGGUGGUUUGUCACGUUGUUCGUGAAAACCCACAGCUCAACUGUGGGCGUGCGAGCGAUACGGGCAGACUAGAGUACUGCAGGGGAGACUGGAAUUCCUGGUGUAGCGGUGGAAUGUGCAGAUAUCAGGAGGAACACCGGUGGCGAAGGCGGGUCUCUGGGCCGAUACUGACGUGGAGGAGCGAAAGCGUGGGGUAGCGAAACAGG
rnacentral:rRNA from 1 species